rnacentral:rRNA from 1 species
GACGAACGCUGGCGGCGUGCUUAACACAUGCAAGUCGAACGGAAAGGCCCUGCUUUUGUGGGGUGCUCGAGUGGCGAACGGGUGAGUAACACGUGAGUAACCUGCCCUUGACUUUGGGAUAACUUCAGGAAACUGGGGCUAAUACCGGAUAGGAGCUCCUGCUGCAUGGUGGGGGUUGGAAAGUUUCGGCGGUUGGGGAUGGACUCGCGGCUUAUCAGCUUGUUGGUGGGGUAGUGGCUUACCAAGGCUUUGACGGGUAGCCGGCCUGAGAGGGUGACCGGCAAAAUGGGGACUGGGAGACGGCCCAGACCCCUACGGGAGGGAGCAGUGGGGAAUAUUGCAAAAUGGGCGGAAGCCUGAUGCAGCAACGCCGCGUGGGGGAGGAGGGCCUUCGGGUUGUAAACCGCUUUCGCCUGGGACGAAGCGUGAGUGACGGGAAUGGGUAAAGAAGCACCGGCCAACUACGG